rnacentral:misc_RNA from 1 species
GCGGAGGAAAAGAAACCAACAGGGAUUGCCUUAGUAACGGCGAGUGAAGCGGCAACAGCUCAAAUUUGAAAUCUGGCCUUUUGGGUCCGAGUUGUAAUUUGGAGAGGAUGUUUCGGGCACGGUCCGGGCUUAAAUUUCUUGGAACAGAAUGUCACAGAGGGUGAGAAUCCCGUCUGGAGUCCGCGACACGACCUAUGUGAAACUCCUUCGACGAGUCGAGUUGUUUGGGAAUGCAGCUCUAAAUGGGUGGUAAAUUUCAUCUAAAGCUAAAUAUUGGCCAGAGACCGAUAGCGCACAAGUAGAGUGAUCGAAAGAUGAAAAGCACUUUGAAAAGAGAGUUAAACAGUACGUGAAAUUGUUGAAAGGGAAGCGCAGGCAACCAGACUUGCGCGUCGGGGUUCCCCCUUGCUUCUGCCUGGGUUACUCCCCGGCGUUCAGGCCAACAUCGGUUUCGGGGGUCGGUUAAAGGCCUUGGGAAUGUACCUACCCUUCGGGGUAGACUUAUAGCCCAGGGUGUCAUGCGACCUCCCGGGACCGAGGAACGCGCGAAAGCUCGGAUGUUGGCGUAAUGGUUGUCUGCGACCCGUCUUGAAACACGGACCAAGGAGUCUAACAUCUAUGCGAGUGUUAGGGUGUCAAACCCUUACGCGGAAUGAAAGUGAACGGAGGUAGGAAGCCAUUAGGCUGCACUAUCGACCGAUCCUGAAGUUUACGGAUGGAUUUGAGUAAGAGCAUAGCUGUUGGGACCCGAAAGAUGGUGAACUAUGCCUGAAUAGGGUGAAGCCAGAGGAAACUCUGGUGGAGGCUCGCAGCGGUUCUGACGUGCAAAUCGAUCGUCAAAU